rnacentral:misc_RNA from 1 species
AACGCACAUUGCACCCUCUGGUAUUCCAGGGGGUAUGCCUGUUCGAGCGUCAUUACAACCCUCAAGCACUUGCUUGGUAUUGGGUGUCACCAUUGUGGUGCAUCUCAAAAGUAUUGGCAGUAGCAUUCAGCUUCUAGUGUAGUAAAUUUCUUGCUUUGGAGUGAAGUGUCUAAUUGCUAGAACCUCUAAUUUAUCAAAGGUUGACCUCGGAUCAGGUAGGGAUACCCGCUGAACUUAA